rnacentral:rRNA from 1 species
UAGGUGACUGCGUACCUUUUGUAUAAUGGGUCAGCGACUUAUAUUCAGUGGCAAGCUUAACCGUAUAGGGUAGGCGUAGCGAAAGCGAGUCUUAAUAGGGCGUUUAGUCGCUGGGUAUAGACCCGAAACCGGGCGAUCUAUCCAUGAGCAGGUUGAAGGUUAGGUAACACUGACUGGAGGACCGAACCCACUCCCGUUGAAAAGGUAGGGGAUGACUUGUGGAUCGGAGUGAAAGGCUAAUCAAGCUCGGAGAUAGCUGGUUCUCCUCGAAAGCUAUUUAGGUAGCGCCUCAUGUAUCACUCUGGGGGGUAGAGCACUGUUUCGGCUAGGGGGUCAUCCCGACUUACCAAACCGAUGCAAACUCCGAAUACCCAGAAGUGCCGAGCAUGGGAGACACACGGCGGGUGCUAACGUCCGUCGUGAAAAGGGAAACAACCCAGACCGCCAGCUAAGGUCCCAAAGUUGUGGUUAAGUGGUAAACGAUGUGGGAAGGCUUAGACAGCUAGGAGGUUGGCUUAGAAGCAGCCAUCCUUUAAAGAAAGCGUAAUAGCUCACUAGUCGAGUCGGCCUGCGCGGAAGAUGUAACGGGGCUCAAACCACACACCGAAGCUGCGGGUGUCACGUAAGUGACGCGGUAGAGGAGCGUUCUGUAAGCCUGUGAAGGUGAGUUGAGAAGCUUGCUGGAGGUAUCAGAAGUGCGAAUGCUGACAUGAGUAACGACAAUGGGUGUGAAAAACACCCACGCCGAAAGACCAAGGGUUCCUGCGCAACGUUAAUCGACGCAGGGUUAGUCGGUUCCUAAGGCGAGGCUGAAAAGCGUAGUCGAUGGGAAACAGGUUAAUAUUCCUGUACUUCUGGUUACUGCGAUGGAGGGACGGAGAAGGCUAGGCCAGCUUGGCGUUGGUUGUCCAAGUUUAAGGUGGUAGGCUGAAAUCUUAGGUAAAUCCGGGGUUUCAAGGCCGAGAGCUGAUGACGAGUCGUCUUUUAGAUGACGAAGUGGUUGAUGCCAUGCUUCCAAGAAAAGCUUCUAAGCUUCAGGUAACCAGGAACCGUACCCCAAACCGACACAGGUGGUCGGGUAGAGAAUACCAAGGCGCUUGAGAGAACUCGGGUGAAGGAACUAGGCAAAAUGGCACCGUAACUUCGGGAGAAGGUGCGCCGGCUAGGGUGAAGGAUUUACUCCGUAAGCUCUGGCUGGUCGAAGAUACCAGGCCGCUGCGACUGUUUAUUAAAAACACAGCACUCUGCAAACACGAAAGUGGACGUAUAGGGUGUGACGCCUGCCCGGUGCCGGAAGGUUAAUUGAUGGGGUUAGCGCAAGCGAAGCUCUUGAUCGAAGCCCCGGUAAACGGCGGCCGUAACUAUAACGGUCCUAAGGUAGCGAAAUUCCUUGUCGGGUAAGUUCCGACCUGCACGAAUGGCGUAACGAUGGCGGCGCUGUCUCCACCCGAGACUCAGUGAAAUUGAAAUCGCUGUGAAGAUGCAGUGUAUCCGCGGCUAGACGGAAAGACCCCGUGAACCUUUACUGUAGCUUUGCACUGGACUUUGAGCCUGCUUGUGUAGGAUAGGUGGGAGGCUUUGAAGCGUGGACGCCAGUUCGCGUGGAGCCAUCCUUGAAAUACCACCCUGGCAUGCUUGAGGUUCUAACUCUGGUCCG